GGCUUCGCCUGCAGCUUCUCCCGGGUCCUCCUCCCGGCCCCUCCCCCAGGCUCCUCCUCUCCGCCCCGCCGUCCCCGCCGGCCGGGCCCACCUCUCCGCCCUGAGAGGCCGCUGGCGGAACCCGGGCGCGCCUGAGCCAGGCCGUCCGCCCUCCUCCCGUGCGGCCUAUGGAGCAGAAGCUCUUCCGUAGGGCCUCCCCUCCUGCGCUGAAGGGUUAGCCGUUCCUUCACCUGCCCUGAGGAAAGCCCGGCCCGCUGCCUAAGUCCAGCCUGAAGCGCCCUCCUCCCCGGGCCUGAGCUGCCCGCAGAGACCCAGACUGGGCGAGCCGGGAAAUGCGACCGAAGGGGCCGGGCUGCGGCAGGUCUAGCCCCAACCAGGCUCUCCACCGACUGGCGGCAUCUUCUGUUUGGCACAGAAAGUCCCAUGAUGACAAAAUGUCCUGGAAUCUCUGCUAAGUACCAUGCCUUCUAGGCUAUCCAAACACGUCAACAUUAAGGUCAAGAGGCAUGAUUACUGUAUCAAAUCUCUGUGAUGUGACUUGGGCACAGAAGAUAAUGGAGAUAAGCUUCCAGAUAUUUGCCAGUUGGGGAGGGUGUUCCUGGGAUGAAGAAGAGGAUGUACAAAAGCAUGGAGCCAAGAAAGAGCAUGUCAAGUCCACAAUUGUCUGGGGUUUUCCUUCUAAAAACUGUGGCAGAGAAUUCAACUGCUCAAGUCGCAACCAAAGAGACCCAGGGCUGCCGAGUGCUCUGCUGCUAAGCUCCAAGCUGCUGCACUAGAUGACCUCCUCCUCCAGGCUGUGCCCCGCA